GUGAGAACAUGUAAGAGAAACAACCCUGCAGACACCAAGGUCAGUGAAGAAGGAGGAGGAGGAGGAGGCGCCGGAGCAGAGAUUCCCCUGCAGCCCGUGGUGAAGACCAUGGUGAGGCAGGCUGUCCCCCUGCAGUCCAGGGAGGUCCACGGUGGAGCAGAUCUCCACCUGCAGCCCGGGGAGGACCCCACGCCGGAGCAGGUGGGUUCCCGAAGGAGGCUGUGAGCCCGUGGGAAGCCCGCGCUGGAGCAGGCUCCUGGCAGGACCUGCGGAUCUGUGGAGAGAGGAGCCCACGGAGCAGGUUUGCUGGCAGGACUUGUGACCCCGUGGGGGACCCAUGCUGGAGCAGUCUGUGCCUGAAGGACUGCACACCGUGGAAAGGACCCAUGCUGGAGCAGUUCAUGAAGAACUGCAGCCCGUGGGAAGGACCCACGUUGGAGAAGUUCAUGGAGGACUGUCUCCUGUGGGUGGGACCCCACACUGGAGCAGGGGAAGAGUGUGAUGAGUCCUCCCCCUGAGGAGGAUGAAGUGGCAGAAAAUAAUGUGUGACGAACUGACCGUAAACCCCAUUCCCUGUCCCCCUGUGCCACUGGGGGGUAGGUGGAGAAUCCAGGAGUGAAGUUGUGCCCGGGAAGAAGGGAGGGGUGGAGGGAAGGUGUUCUGAGAUUUGGUUUUAUUUCUCAUUACCCUACUCUGGUUGAUUGGUCAUAAAUUGAGUUAAUUUUCCCCAA